rnacentral:lncRNA from 1 species
CCGGCGGCUCGCUGCGCAGUGUUUUUCUUUUUCUUUUUAUGCAGUUUUUGCUUUAUAUUUGAAUUUGUGUAAUAAAUCUUGUGUUGAUCCAAAAAUCAUGGAAAUUUUUGUAUAGAUUCCCUGAAAUAAGUAGAACCCAAGAAAAAUAUUCGAUUUUAUUUUCUGAUAGUUUACAUGUGUAUGAAAAUUGCCUCUUUUGUAUA